rnacentral:rRNA from 1 species
GACGAACCGUACGAACGUUAUUCGGAAUUACUGGGCUUAAAGGGUGCGUAGGCGGCGCAGUAAGUUGGGUGUGAAAUCCCUCGGCUUAACCGAGGAAUUGCGCCCAAAACUACUGUGCUCGAGGGAGAUAGAGGUGAGCGGAACUUAGGGUGGAGCGGUGAAAUGCGUAGAUAUCUGGAGGAACACCGGUGGCGAAGGCGGCAUCCUGGACCGAAACUGACACUGAGGCGCGAAAGCCAGGGGAGCAAACGGG